UACGUAGGGGGCGAGCGUUGUCCGGAUUUACUGGGCGUAAAGGGCGCGUAGGCGGCGCGGUAAGUCACUUGUGAAAUCUCUGAGCUUAACUCAGAACGGCCAAGUGAUACUGCAGUGCUAGAGCGCAGAAGGGGCAAUCGGAAUUCUUGGUGUAGCGGUGAAAUGCGUAGAUAUCAAGAGGAACACCUGAGGUGAAGACGGGUUGCUGGGCUGACACUGACGCUGAGUGCGCGAAAGCCAGGGGAGCAAACGGG
rnacentral:rRNA from 1 species